GUGUGGCUCAGUGGUACAGCUCUUGCCUCGCAUGCAGAAGACCCUGGGUUCGAUACCCAGCAC
rnacentral:tRNA from 1 species